rnacentral:misc_RNA from 1 species
GAUGAAGAACGCAGCGAAAUGCGAUAAGUAAUGCGAAUUGCAGAAUUCAGUGAGUCAUCGAAUCUUUGAACGCACAUUGCGCCCUGUGGUAUUCCGCAGGGCAUGCCUGUUCGAGCGUCAUUUCAACCCUCAAGCCCCGCUUGGUGUUGGGCCCCGCCCGCCGUGGCCGACCCUAAAGACAGUGGCGGCGCCGCCUGGCCCUCAGCGUAGUACAGCUCUCGCUCCAGGGUCCGGCGGCCGCCUGCCAGAACCCCCCCAACUCUGUGGUUGACCUCGGAUCAGGUAGGGAUACCCGCUGAACUUAAGCAUAUCAAUAAGCGGAGGA